GACGAACGCUGGCGGCGUGCUUAACACAUGCAAGUCGAACGGAAAGGCCUGCUUUCCCUUGUGGAUUGCGGGUACUCGAGUGGCGAACGGGUGAGUAACACGUGAGUGAUCUGCCCCCAACUUGGGUAUAAGCCUGGGAAACUGGGUCUAAUUCCCGAUAGGACUGCAGGGUGGUGCCUGUGGUGGAAAACGAUUUUCUAGUGGUAGGGGAUGAGCUCGCGGCCUAUCAGCUUGUUGGUGGGGUAAUGGCCUACCAAGGCGGCGACGGGUAGCCGGCCUGAGAGGGUGGACGGCCACAUUGGGACUGAGAUACGGCCCAGACUCCUACGGGAGGCAGCAGUGGGGAAUAUUGCACAAUGGGCGGAAGCCUGAUGCAGCGACGCCGCGUGGGGGAUGACGGCCUUCGGGUUGUAAACUCCUUUCGACCGCGAGGAAGCCACCUGGUUGGAAGGGUGGUGACGGUAGUGGUAGAAGAAGCACCGGCUAACUACGUG
rnacentral:rRNA from 1 species